rnacentral:rRNA from 1 species
GACGAACGCUGGCGGCGUGCUUAACACAUGCAAGUCGAACGGAAAGGCCCUGCUUUUGUGGGGUGCUCGAGUGGCGAACGGGUGAGUAACACGUGAGUAACCUGCCCUUGACUUUGGGAUAACUUCAGGAAACUGGGGCUAAUACCGGAUAGGAGCUCAUGCUGCAUGGUGGGGGUUGGAAAGUUUCGGCGGUUGGGGAUGGGCUCGCGGCUUAUCAGCUUGUUGGUGGGGUAGUGGCUUACCAAGGCUUUGACGGGUAGCCGGCCUGAGAGGGUGACCGGCCACAUUGGGACUGAGAUACGGCCCAGCCUCCUACGGGAGGCAGCAGUGGGGAAUAUUGCACAAUGGGCGGAAGCCUGAUGCAGCAACGCCGCGUGCGGGAUGACGGCCUUCGGGUUGUAAACCGCUUUCGCCUGUGACGAAGCGUGAGUGACGGUAAUGGGUAAAGAAGCACCGGCUAACUACGUG